rnacentral:rRNA from 1 species
CGAAACCUACGGGAGGCAGCAGUAGGGAAUCUUCCACAAUGGGCGCAAGCCUGAUGGAGCAACGCCGCGUGAGUGAAGAAGGGUUUCGGCUCGUAAAGCUCUGUUGUUGGAGAAGAACGUGCGUGAGAGUAACUGUUCACGCAGUGACGGUAUCCAACCAGAAAGUCACGGCUAACUACGUGCCAACAGCCGCGGUAAUACGUAGGGGGCAAGCGUUAUCCGGAUUUAUUGGGCGUAAAGCG